GUGCCAGCAGCCGCGGUAAUACGUAGGGGGCAAGCGUUGUCCGGAAUUAUUGGGCGUAAAGGGCACGCAGGCGGUUUCGUCAGACCGAUGUGACAGGCCGCGGCUCAACCGUGGUAGGCCACUGGAAACUGCGAGACUUGAGGACAGAAGAGGAGUGUGGAAUUCCACGUGUAGCGGUGAAAUGCGUAGAUAUGUGGAGGAACACCAGUGGCGAAGGCGACUCUCUGGUCUGUACCUGACGCUGAGGUGCGAAAGCAUGGGGAGCAAACAGGAUUAGAAACCCCAGUAGUCC
rnacentral:rRNA from 1 species